AGCAACACCUCUCCUUCCCCCAUCUCCUUCUCCACCACCGGCCACCGCCGUGGCCAGGCCGACGGAGUGGUGCGCCUCCCGCUUCAUCACGCAUCUCCAUCCACCACUCCACCAUCACCCUGCACCACCAGCGCCACCAGCACCCCCACCAUCACUCCGCGCCAUCCAUCGACCAUCUCCAUCCACCGCCGCAUCUGGCGCGACCCACCAGACUGCCCGUCUGGUGUCCCGCGCGAGCACGCCAUCCACCACUUUCACUCCUCCCUCUCGCUUGUUGUUGCUCCUCCCUCUUGCUUUGUCCUGCUGCUUAUUUUCUUCCCCUCUCCUUCCUCAACUGCUGCUGCUCCUUCUUCCUGUGCACCCCUGCUGCUCCUCUCUCUCGCAACUCCUGCUGCUGCUCUUCUUCCUCUUCUCCUCACCUUGCCGCUGCUCUGAAUCUUAACUUGUUGCUGCCACUUCUUCUUCUCUGAACCCAACGCUGCUAGAUGCUCCUCCUAGUUCCGCUUCUCUUCUACCCAACAAAACUGCUGCUGCUCUCUUUAUUUCUCUUCAUCUCUCUCUUUCUAUGUGUGUGUGUAAUUUCUGUGAGUUACUAGUGGAUGCUAGAUCAACUAUAUUCUAUUCUGAAUUAGUAUUAUUUGUGUUUGUAUAUUAGUUAGUUUACUUUAAUAAUUCAGAUCACCUGUGAUCUUUGUGUUGAAUGUGCUUUCAGUGUUCUUGAGAAGUGUAAAACUGUUCAACAUUCAGUUUACAAUUUCUGAAACUUCUGUGAUUCAGUGGUGUCUCUAUGUCAUAUAUAUAGCCUAUGUACUGCCUGUUGUAGAAAAUUUCAGUUUGUAAGUUCCUGUGAUAGCUCCAGUACAUGUGACUUUUAUGUUGUCUCAAGUACCUGUGAUAUAUAUACAUAUGUGUGUGUCUGUCAUGUGAUACAUUCAUGUUCUAUCCUACAACCUUGUUUCUUCCCCCUGUUAAUUGUUAGAUAGCUAUAGGUAUGUAUGUAUGUAUAUAUAUAUAUAUAUUCAUGUCUUCUUAAUUCCCUAGCAUUUUGAUGUUUGCUCAUGUUAGCAUUUUAUUUCUCAAGUUUAAUGAAAACCUCCCCUUGCUUGUUUUGUAUUUUCUUUGGCGACGAUCUUCAGGAAGAACUUUGUAUAGUUUAGGUUUAUAUUUUCUACAUUCGUCUCUUAAAAUUGUGUUACCUAUAUUUAGCCGAGCAUAGUCGUCGUCGCCUAGUCCCUAUGGGGAACACGACACUUGCAGUUUGGGGCGUAAAACCCCCGCUGUACUACAAUUGAUCAUUUUGGCGCCGUUGCCGGGGACUAGCGUCGAGUGGCCGUGUUAGGCUAUAGACUAGGUGUUUCUUCUUUUUCUAGUUUGUGCCAUAUAUAUGUGAUAUAUAUCUAACCCCUAAGGCUUGUUCAAGUUAUUUUCUCUUUCUUUGCUUGGUCAUUCUGCAGGUUAUUGCAUCUUCUUGGUUAUGGCUUACUGUUCGGAUCAUCAUGCUUAUGCGAGCAACACUACAAACAGCACGGAAAGUAUUCAAGACCUAAUAAGCAAGAUUUCCCAUCAAUUAUAUGAUUUAGCUCGACAACGAGAAGUAGUUUUUGAGGAUAGGCCUAGCUCUUAUGAUCCUUAUUCUAGAGGUCAUCCUUAUGUUGCUCCUACAUGCCAUAUUUGUGGAUUUCAGGGCCAUUCACCCGUUGAAUGUCAGCGUGGUUACUCUCACUCUUCCGAUUGUUAUGGCAUGAGCUUCGCCCCACAGCCUAGCUCAUACCAAAACAAUUACUCAUAUGGGUGGCCUGAAAACAAGAAUAUGUCAUAUAGGAGCAACAACCCUAAGAUCUCACUGUUUGCUUCUAGUAAUCAUAUGCUCCACAAUAGAUUUAUUCAGCUCCUACUCAUAUACCUCAACACCAGGAGAUGUUGCCAAUGGAGUUAAACGGUCCUCCAUUUGGUCAACCAACAACUCCAGCAACUGCCGAGCAAUCUCAUGUGCAAGUGCCCACACAAGAUGAAUUUGAUGAUAUAGACAAGCUCACAUUGCUUAGUCUCGAGUUCACUUGGAGUGCUGAAGAUGAUCCAAUUAGGCCGGUGAUACUAGAUGAAAUGAAGAAGAUCAAGACUGGAAAAGAGCUACUGGAAGAACUGAGCAAGAUAGCGAGAUUCCAGAGGAAGAGAUGCUUCAGAUCCAAGAAGAAAUUCUUGAAGCCAAGUCACAAGAUGAUCCAGAGCUCGAAUACCCAAAUGAACAAGUUGAAGAUCCAAUGUCUACUACUUCCGAAGAAGUAAAAGAAGCUGUUGUAGAUGAAGAUGAAGAACCUGAGAUUCAUUUGCCUAUUGUUAUACAAGAGAGUGAUGUGCCAGGUUCAUUCAAUCCUAUUAAUGACAUGUCCCAUUAUGUUUUGUUUGAUUCUACCUUGCUUUACAUGAUGCCAUCACUUAAGGUAGAUUUAAAGAAGUGUUUGCUUGGAUAUGAUGAUACAUAUACUGUUGAUGGAAUUGCUCAUAUUAAUGAUGAUCACACUUAUUUUCCUCAUGCCAAGCCUAUGCUUAAUGAUAAAUAUCAUCUUAAUGCUAGUAUUGAGCUAGUUGAUUCCUAUAAUACUCGUCAUGUUCUAUAUUCCUAUGUUUAUAUAAUUGGAUACUCGAUUGAUGACUUAGAGGGCAUCGACCCUAUCACUCUUAGUUGUUGUUUGUGUGUGUCCUAUUUCAGGUUUUUGCUUGUGCACGAAUCAAUGUAUGUUGACCAGGUUCGAGGUGACAUCCCUUGGGAUCCCGGUGGAGUUAGAGCAUGGCGAUGAGGAGAAGCAAUGGGGCACAUAUAUGGAAGAGAGGAGCUGGAGCGUGCACGAGGAAGCAAAAGGAGAGGAGUCACAAUGCAAGAGGAUGUGAGAUGAUCGACUGAGUGCUACAUGAGCAAAACCCGGUGAUCAGUUUCAUGUCCCCAAUCAGAAUAUAUCAUCCAUUGAUACAUGCUGAAAUCAAUUGCUAUUUGGGUUGCUUGAGCCAUUUCUUAAACGUUGUCCCAUUGAAUUUUACCUUUGACAUAUGGUGCUUGAUGAGAAUAGGUGAACUGAUUGUUGAAUGCCUUGUAAACUAGUGAUCUACACCCUGUUUGCUUUGCUGAAAGUAGUGAAAGCUAUUAGUUUUGAGUGCUCAAAUCCCUAGUGCACUAGUAAACUUAAUCUUUUUCUGCAUUUACCUUGAUACACCUAGAUCACUAUGUUCAGAUGAUGUAUUUGUGCCAAGUGUGUUCCCACUCAGAGCAAUCACUUUACCACUAUGGACUAGCAUGCUAUGUUCCCUGGAUCGGUAGCAUGUGAACCAGACAUGGUUGAGUGAUGAUUCUUGUUUUUGUUCAAAAAAAGUAUAUCUUAUAAUGAAUAAUAAGUCUGACUACCUACAAUAGCAUGUCAUGUUCCCUGGAUCGAUGGCAUGUGAAAUCGGGUUAGCUGGGGCAGUAAUUAAUAAAUGAAUAUGUAAUUGUCGAACCAGGUGUAUACCAUGUUCUUUGGAUCGGUGGUAUGUUCCUUUGGGGAGACAAACAAUUUUUUUUAAUAAUAAUUGGUUUUGCCAGGUGUAUACCAUGUUCUCGGGAUUGGUGGUAUGUUCCUUCGGUGAGACUAAUAAAAUAAUAUGUGUGUUUCUUUCAAAUUCAAUAAGUGGUUCAACCACAAUGUUAUAUCUCUGUAAAUAAGUGAUUUGAUCACAAGAUUUAAUUCAAGUUCCUUUUGUUCUCAGGAUCAUGCUCUCUUUAGGAACCUUUGGCAUAAUCAGCAUUUGAACUUGCUAAUCUUCUUGUAUCAUUGUAAAAGUUUAAAAUGAUCAACUCUACUAGUAUCCUAUUGCUUUGUAGCACUCUUAACCAUUGAUUUUCACUAGCUAAGUCCAAAGCAUGCGAUGUUUGGAGAUCUACUUCACUUGGACAUUCUCUAGUCAGCUCACUGUUCACCAUCUAGCUCUUGUCAUUUGCCUUUACUUGAGGACAAGUAAAGAUUUAAGUGUGGGGGAACUUGAUAAGCACAUUUCAUAUAUAUAAUUUUGGCAUACAAUUAUACUAUUCGUUGGGUUAUGCCCAUCUAUUCUUGCUAAGUUUAGUUGAAUAUUUGCAUGAAAAUCAUAUAAUGAAUAAUUUACUAGUCAUUGUGUGUCUUUUGCAGAAAAGUGCGCAACGGCACUAUAAACUUCAAGAUCCAUACUAGUGGCUAAGAGAACAAAGAGGAGGAGGAAGAAUGGACUUGUGCGAGAAGAAACAAAGUAACCAGGGGGCUAACUAGAGAAGAGAGGGAUGUUCUUGCGAAGAAAGAAGGAAGCAGGAGGGCCAUUGUGAAAAUGGGCAGAUUGGAUCAAGGGGUCAAAAUCCCUAGUCCAUCUCCAAUUCCCCUCGGGCCUGGCAACACCUCUCCUUCCCCCAUCUGCUUCUCCACCACCGGCCACCGCCGCGGCCAGGCCGCCGUGGUGGUGCGCCUCUCACCUCAUCACCCAUCUCCAUCCACCACUCCACCAUCACCCUGCACCACCAACGCCACCAGCACUCCCACCAUCACUCCGCGCCAUCCAUCCACCAUCUCCAGCCACCGCCGCAUCUGGCGCGACCCACCAGACUGCCCGUCUGGUGUCCCGCACGAGCACGCCAUCCACCACUUCCACUCCCCCCUCUCUCUUAUUGCUGCUCCUCCCUCUUGCUUCGUCCUGCUGCUUCUUUUCUUCCCCUUGCCUUCCUCAACUGCUACUGAUCCUUCUUCCUAUGCACCCCUGCUGCUCCUCUCUCUCUCGCAACUCCUGCUGCUGCUCUUCUUCCUCUUCUCCUCACCUUGCUGCUGCUCUGAACCUUAACUUGUUGCUUCCACUUCUUCUUCUCUGAACCCAACGCUGCUAGCUGCUCCUCCUAGUGUCGCUUCUCUUCUGCCCAAUAAAAUUGCUGCUGCUCUCUUUGUUCCUCUUCAUCUCUCUCUUUCUAUGUGUGUGUGUGUGUAAUUUCUGUGAGUUAUUAGUGGAUGCUAGAUCAACUAUAUUCUAUUCUGAAUUAGUAUUAUUUGUGUUUGUAUGUCAGUUAAUUUACUUUAAUAAUUCAGAUCACCUGUGAUCUUUGUGUUGAAUGUGCUUUCAGUGUUCUUGAGAAGUGUAAAACUGUUCAACAUUCCGUUUACAUGUUCUGAAACUUCUGUGAUUCAAUGGUGUCUCUAUGUCAUAUA